GCAGCUUUCUUGUAUUCUGAUCCUCAGUCUAGCCAAGGUCCCACACUGUGACACAAAGCUUUCAAGCUGUGAAACUGUGGUGAGACAUUAUUCCCAUGUCAUAGUGCAAGACUUCACAGAGCACAGCUCCAGGACUCUUUAGCCCACUGAGCUUCUCUGUCCAUCUGAGAGAACAGAAUUUUGAUUCUAGCCCUUACAUAUGUGUUUGCUAAUCCCAUUGCAGACCUGAAUGUACAACAAGAUAUUUUGAAUUUCUCUUCCCUAAGAUGAAUCCAGCAAAUGACUGAAGGUCUCCCCUUUGCAUAGCUUAGAAGUAACAGUGGUAGUAGCAGCAAUAACAUGCAAUUAAUGUACUGGAAAUCUAGAGAGGACAGAGAAAUUAGUAUGUGCAUGCAACCACUAGAGAAAGAGGAGUGCUGGCAUGAUUGAAAGUACCUUGCAAGUGUGAUAAAUGAAGGUCAUGAAUACACAUGAGGCUGUGAAUUAUUUCUUUAUGGAGACUAGCAAGGAUCAGGACCAAUUUCUCGGCUGGAUCCAGACAGUAAGAGCUGUUCAAACUAAACCACACAAACAAACAGGGGAUGGAGCUAUGGGGAGCUUAAACCAUGCAGACAGCUUGUGCCCCUUCAUUUGCAUAGCCUUGAUUU